AUGCUACAGGAAGGAAUUUGGAAUAGUUUUCUUUUAACUUGUCUCCCAUAUUGGUGGGGAAUAUACCCAACGGCUGACCUGGGACAGGUUGUACCUGGAGGAGCCCUGCUCUAUUCUCACUGCUUGGGGAUGACAGAGAAGACUGUGGUGAGCGCAGAAGAUGGAGAUUUAGAGAAGCCAGGUUUCCUGCUCAAGGUCAGCAGGUUUGCAGCCCAUGUAUACACGUCAGAGCCAUGUGCUGACCCACCUGUCCUGUUACAAAGGUGCUCCCAAAACAUCAAAGAAAACUAAAAAGAUCUACCAGAUCCAGCGAGGAAAAACUAAAAAGAGGAGAACUAAAACGAUCUACCAUUUCCAGCGAGGAAAUGCUGAUGAGUAAAAAAGCCAGAAAACAAAACUGAUGAUUUCUUAUGUUGAUCCAGUCCCCCCACAAAACCCAGGCAUCUUGGACAAAAAGGGUAAAACAAAUAUUGCUAAGAGGAAGUGUAAGUAAGCCAAAGGCGAUCAUAAGAAAGUUCAGCUCGAUUAGAGUUUAAACCUCUUGGCCAAAAUGCAUCAUGGACCCGAGUGGAUAAAACUUCCACGUGUUUGUUGAAUGAAUGAGUGGUCAGUAUCACUCAACCACUGUGGGUAAUGGUUAAGACCUGUAGAAAAUUUCUGCAAGAACAGGAAUGUGAGAAGUAAAGUUCCAGUGUCCUUGCUGGGCAAGAAUUCUACCAAUUAUAGACUUGAAAGCCUGCUGUAGACUUAAACAAGAGUUGAGAAAUAAUUUCUAAAUGUUUAGAAAGGAAACACGAUCAUCAAAGCUACCAUGGAUUUACUCAGAACAAGUUGUUAUGUGAACUAGCCCGAUUUCCUUUUUCGUCAGUGUUGCCAGCUGGUAAACAGAUCUGGAUUUCAACAAGGCAUCUGGCAGGGGUCUCCUGUUAUCCUUUUGGAAAGGUGGUGAGAUGUGAGAGCCACAGAGUGAUGAGUGAGGUGGAGGUCACCUCGGAGGGCAGCCUCUGUGUGAGCUCAGGCCCGCUCUCAGCUUGGUCCUGACCCUUCAUCCUCGAGGACUUGGAGGAAGCAAUGGGAGGAAAAUGUACCCAAUUACUAGAUGACGGGGAAGCCGGAUGGGUGAUGAACAUGAAGGAGAGCUGGACAAGGAUACUGAAACAUCUCAAGUACCUGGAAAUAUUGAAUAACUAAAGCUUAAUAGAGAUUGAUAUAAUUCUUUACAUUUGGUUCAAAGGACGAGACAGAACAGAAAAAAAUUUUGCAAAUAUAAUGACACAAAGCUCAGCUUCAG
rnacentral:lncRNA from 1 species